UACGUAGGGUGCAAGCGUUGUCCGGAUUUACUGGGCGUAAAGAGCGCGUAGGCGGUCCGUUAAGUGUAGAGUGAAAGCUCCGGGCUCAACCCGGAAACUGCCAUUGAUACUAUCGGUCUUGAAUAUCGUGGAGGUAAGCGGAAUAUGUCAUGUAGCGGUGAAAUGCUUAGAUAUGACAUAGAACACCAAUUGCGAAGGCAGCUUACUACCCGAAUAUUGACACUGAGGCACGAAAGCGUGGGGAUCAAACAGG
rnacentral:rRNA from 1 species